UACGGGAGGCAGCAGUGGGGAAUAUUGCACAAUGGGCGCAAGCCUGAUGCAGCCAUGCCGCGUGUAUGAAAAAGGCCUUCGGGUUGUAAAGUACUUUCAGUCGUGAGGAAGGUGUUAAGGUUAAUAACCUUAGCAAUUGACGUUAGCGACAGAAGAAGCACCGGCUAACUCCGUGCCAGCAGCCGCGGUAAUACGGAGGGUGCGAGCGUUAAUCGGAAUUACUGGGCGUAAAGGGCACGCAGGCGGUUAAUUAAGUUGGAUGUGAAAUCCCCGGGCUUAACCUGGGAAUGGCAUUCAAGACUGGUUAGCUAGAGUCUUGUAGAGGGGGUAGAAUUCCAUGUGUAGCGGUGAAAUGCGUAGAGAUGGUGGAGGAAUACCGGUGGCGAAGGCGGCCCCUGGACAAAGACUGACGCUCAUGUGCGAAAGCGUGGGGAGCAAACGAGGGAUUAGAUACC
rnacentral:rRNA from 1 species